rnacentral:rRNA from 1 species
GACGAACGCUGGCGGCGUGCCUAACACAUGCAAGUCGAGCGGGGAUUUAAGUGGAAGUUCUUCGGAAUGGAGAUUUAAAUUCUAGCGGCGGACGGGUGAGUAACGCGUGAACAAUCUGUCCCGGACAGGGGGAUAACACUUGGAAACAGGUGCUAAUACCGCAUAAGACCACGGCCUCGCAUGGGGCUGAGGUAAAAGGAGCAAUCCGGUUCGUGGUGAGUUCGCGUCCGAUUAGCUAGUUGGUGAGGUAACGGCCCACCAAGGCGACGAUCGGUAGCCGGCCUGAGAGGGUGAACGGCCACAUUGGAACUGAGAGACGGUCCAAACUCCUACGGGAGGCAGCAGUGGGGAAUAUUGGGCAAUGGGCGAAAGCCUGACCCAGCAACGCCGCGUGAGGGAAGAAGGUUUUCGGAUUGUAAACCUCUGUCCUAUGGGACGAAGGAAGUGACGGUACCAUAGGAGGAAGCCCCGGCUAACUACGUG